AUUGAACGCUGGCGGCAUGCCUAACACAUGCAAGUCGAACGAGUGGCGUACGGGUUAUUACUGUCUGUGCCACUGCCUGAUGGAGGGGUAUAACUACUGGAAACUGUAGCUACUUCCGCCUACCAUCAGCUGUGCCCAGAUGGGAUUAGCUAGUUGGUGGGGUAACGGCUCACCACGGCGACGAUCCCUAGCUGGUCUGAGAGGAUGACCAGCCACACUGGAACUGAGACACGGUCCAGACUCCUACGGGAGGCAGCAGUGGGGAAUAUUGCACAAUGGGCGAAAGCCUGAUGCAGCCAUGCCGCGUGUGUGAAGAAGGCCUUCGGGUUGUAAAGUACUGUCAGCGGGGAGGCGUUACCCGCAGAAGAAGCACCGGCUAACUACGUGCCAGCCGCCGCGGUAAUUC
rnacentral:rRNA from 1 species